CAUACGGCUCAGUAACACGUGGCUAACCUGCCCUUAGGACAAGAAUACCCCCGGGAAACUGGGGCUAAUUCUUGAUAGGCGAAGAUCUCUGGAAUGAGUUUUCACCAAAAAGAGAUUGCGUUAUGCUCGUAAUUUCGCCCAAGGAUGGGGCCGCGACCGAUCAGGUUGUUGGUGAGGUAAUGGCUCACCAAGCCUUUUACCGGUGCGGGCCGUGGGAGCGGGAGCCCGGAGAUGGGUACUGAGACAAGGACCCAGGCCCUACGGGGCGCAGCAGUCGCGAAAACUUUGCAAUACACGAAAGUGUGACAGGGCUAUCCCGAGUGCCAUCCGCUGAGGAAGGCUUUUACCCAGUCUAGACCGCUGGGGGAAUAAGGAGAGGGCAAGUCUGGUGUCAGCCGCCGCGGUAAUACCAGCUCUUCGAGUGGUGUGGAUGUUUAUUGGGCCUAAAGCAUCCGUAGCUGGCUAAGUUAGUCCCUUGUUAAAUCCACCGAAUUAAUCGUUGGAUUGCGGGGGAUACUGCUUGGCUAGGGGACGAGAGAGGCAGACGGUAUUUUCGGGGUAGGGGUGAAAUCCUAUAAUCCCGGGAAGACCACCAGUGGCGAAGGCUGUCUGCUAGAACGCGCCCGACGGUGAGGGAUGAAAGCUGGGGGAGCGAACC
rnacentral:rRNA from 1 species